rnacentral:rRNA from 1 species
CUACGGGAGGCAGCAGUGAGGAAUAUUGCACAAUGGGGGGAACCCUGAUGCAGCAACGCCGCGUGGAGGAUGACGCAUUUCGGUGUGUAAACUCCUUUUAUAUGUCAAGAAAAUGACGGUAGCAUAUGAAUAAGCGCCGGCUAACUCCGUGCCAGCAGCCGCGGUAAUACGGAGGGCGCAAGCGUUACUCGGAAUCACUGGGCGUAAAGGACGCGUAGGCGGGUUGAAAAGUCAGGUGUGAAAGCCUACAGCUUAACUGUAGAACUGCACUUGAAACUCUCAACCUAGAGUAUGGGAGGGGCAGAUGGAAUUAGUGGUGUAGGGGUAAAAUCCGUAGAUAUCACUAGGAAUACCUAAAGCGAAGGCGAUCUGCUGGAACAUUACUGACGCUAAGGCGUGAAAGCGUGGGGAGCAAACAGGAUUAGAUACCCUAGUAGUC